rfam:Smithella sp. D17 contig_206, whole genome shotgun sequence.
GGUGAAUAGCAGGGGUGGCCGAAAAGAGCCUGAGAUUAUACCCUUUGAACCUGAUCCGGAUAAUGCCGGCGAAGGGAGACAAAGCAAGGUGUAG